rnacentral:lncRNA from 1 species
CGGGAACCCGGAUCCGAACAAUUAUCUGGCGAUAAUUGUUUAGUUGUGUAUUCUUGUAUUUGCUGCCAAGACGUUCAAAUCAAUGUAUUUUGUGGCAGCGGGUGACUCGUGGCACGAGUCGGUGAGUUUCGGAACACUUAAUGGAUCCCGACGACGUCCCGGUGUGAUUUUUGGAACUUCCGGCGAGUUACGGUGAUCGGUUUUGGAAAACCGAUUUCGGAAAUUUAUGUGGGGUUUGUGAGUUAGGUAUUUUUGAAUUGGUGGGUUGGUUACUGACCCGAUAGAUCUUCGUAGGUCCGGUUGA